rnacentral:misc_RNA from 1 species
AACGCACAUUGCGCUCCUUGGUAUUCCGGGGAGCACGCCUGUUUGAGAAUCAGUAAAAUUCAUCGGCUUUCUUUGGGGCUCUUUCGGGGGCCUCGGAGGUUGGGCCGGAUAUGGGUCUUUUGCAAGCGCAAGCUCGCAAUGACUUGAAAUUCAAUGUCACGAAAUCAUAAGACGAUUGUCUGGGUUUCAAGCGCAUGAAAGGGUGUUUUCACUUUGCAGUACGCUUGGUUGGCCUACGUCAAGGUAGUCAGUGAUUGAGUCGACUCAGCCAUAACUCGGGGGGUGGUGGCAGUUUGUCAUUGCUUCUUGAACACCUUGGUCUCAAAUCAGGUGGGAAAACCCGCUGAACUUAA